UGGGGAAUUUUCCGCAAUGGGCGAGAGCCUGACGGAGCAACGCCGCGUGAGGGAGGACGGCCUGUGGGUUGUAAACCUCUUUUCUCUGGGAAGAAGUUCUGACGGUACCAGAGGAAUCAGCAUCGGCUAACUCCGUGCCAGCAGCCGCGGUAAGACGGAGGAUGCAAGCGUUAUCCGGAAUUAUUGGGCGUAAAGCGUCCGUAGGUGGUUAUUCAAGUCUGUUGUCAAAGGUCACAGCUCAACUGUGGAUCGGCGAUGGAAACUGUUUGACUAGAGUGUGGUAGGGGUAGAGGGAAUUCCUAGUGUAGCGGUGAAAUGCGUAGAUAUUAGGAAGAACACCAGUGGCGAAGGCGCUCUACUGGGCCAUAACUGACACUGAUGGACGAAAGCUAGGGGAGCGAAAGGGAUUAGAUACCCCCGUAGUCC
rnacentral:rRNA from 1 species